UACGUAGGGGGCAAGCGUUGUCCGGAAUCAUUGGGCGUAAAGAGCGUGUAGGCGGCUCGAUAAGUCCGCUGUGAAAGUCCAGGGCUCAACCCUGGAAGGCCGGUGGAAACUGUCGGGCUAGAGUCCGGAAGAGGCGAGUGGAAUUCCCGGUGUAGCGGUGAAAUGCGCAGAUAUCGGGAGGAACACCAAUGGCGAAGGCAGCUCGCUGGACGGUACUGACGCUGAGACGCGAAAGCGUGGGGAGCGAACAGG
rnacentral:rRNA from 1 species